rnacentral:rRNA from 1 species
GGGGUGCUAACACAUGCAGUCGCACGAGAAAGGGGAGCAAUCCCUGAGUAAAGUGGCGCACGGGUGAGUAACACGUGACUAAUCUACCCUCGAGUGGGGAAUAACUGAGAGAAAUCUUAGCUAAGUUACCGCAUAACACUUACGAGUCAAAGCAGCAAUGCGCUUGGGGAGGAGGUCGCGGCCGAUUAGCUAGUUGGCGGGGUAAUGGCCCACCAAGGCGAUGAUCGGUAUCCGGCCUGAGAGGGCGCACGGACACACUGGAACUGAAACACGGUCCAGACUCCUACGGGAGGCAGCAGUGGGGAAUUUUGCGCAAUGGGGGAAACCCUGACGCAGCAACGCCGCGUGGAGGAUGAAGUAUCUUGGUACGUAAACUCCUUUCGAUGGGGAAGAUUAUGACGGUACCCAUAGAAGAAGCCCCGGCUAACUUCGUGCCAGCAGCCGCGGUAAUACGAGGGGGGCAAGCGUUGUUCGGAUUUAUUGGGCGUAAAGGGUGCGUAGGCGGUUUGGCAAGUCUUAUGUGAAAUCUUCGGGCUCAACCCGAAGCCUGCAUAAGAAACUGCCGGGCUUGAGUAUGGGAGAGGUGAGUGGAAUUUCCGGUGUAGCGGUGAAAUGCGUAGAUUCGGAAGGAACACCUGUGGCGAAAGCGGCUCACUGGACCAUAACUGACGCUGAUGCACGAAAGCUAGGGGAGCAAACAGGAUUAGAUACCCUGGUAGUCCUAGCCCUAAACGGAUGAAAUUGCUUGGGUGUUGGCCAGGGUACCCCAAUCCUUGGCCGGUGCCGAAAGCUUAAGCGAUAAGCAAUCCGCUGGGGAGUACG